rnacentral:lncRNA from 1 species
CUGCACCAGCAGCAAGCAGAAGUUCCUGGGCCAGGGCUUGACCCUGGCCACUGCAGUGAACAACGCCAGAUCCUCAACUCAGCCGAGCCACCAGGGAACUCCCCCUUACCUUUAGAAAAGAGAGUCGUGAUGGGGCGGGGGGGGGGGGGGCGGNUAUUACCUCCCUAGGCAAGGCCCCGUGAGAUAAUGGAGAGUAUUUCCCCCUAAUACAUCAUGAUUCUUCUGUCUGUCAGGGAAAAGUCCUUUAUUCAAUGUCUAUUGCUUGAUUUGAAAGCCAAAUCCAAAUCUCAAUUCCAUCCUGACAAUAUUUCCAUUAAAUAAAAUCCUCCGUCUUGUUGGGAGCUUUUUAAAUCAAUCUGCUACCAAGAGCUUCUGAAUAAGUUAAUAAUGCAGACACCUGACUCACUCUCCUGCAAGCACUCCUCCACCAAAAAUCAAUGGACUUUGUUCAACCUAUCAAAACAGUUAGCAGUUGAGCAGUCAUACAAUUAAAAUGCAGCUCCUCCUCAUAGCCUUUCUCAUACUGAAAGAGAAAAAAAUAUAGGCAAGUAUGCUGAAGUCUUGGGAGUAACAGAAUUAAGACAGAGCAGCUGGGUUCAAAUCUGGACUUCAUUCCUUAGAGUAAAACUCACAUUUUUUACUAAGUGCACAGGACACAGAAGACAUUGAGGCACAUGCACAUGACCAUCUUUCUCAGCCCACUUUUACUGAUUGAUUUUUAUUUCUUUUUUAAAGGAAGUAGAGUUAUUUACAAUGCUGUGUUAGUUUCAGGUGUACAGCAAAGUGAUCCAGUUACACACACACACACACACACACACACACACACACACACAUAUAUACUUUUUCAGAUCUUUCCUAUUAUAGGUUAUUAUUACAUCCCACUAUUAUUAUUCCCAUUAUAGGUUAUAUGCUACUGAAUAUAGUUCCCUGUCUCAGCCCAUUUUUUAAUGUAUGUAUGUAUUUAUUUAUUAUUUUAUUGAAGUAUAGUGGACUUACAAUGCUGUAUUAAUUUCGGCUAGAUAGCAAAAUGACUCAGUUAUAUAUAUUCUCUUUCAUGUUUCUUUUCCAUUAUGGUUUAUCACGGGAUAUUGAAUAUAGUUCCCUGUGCUGUAUAGUAGGACCUGGCUGUUUGUCCAUCCUGUGCUUACUAGCUCACAGCUGUUCAUCCCAAAUUCCCAUUCCUUCUCUCCCUUAGCUUUCCUCCCCCUUGGCAACCACAAGUCUGUUCUCUAUGCUUGUGAGUCUGUUUCUGUUUCAUAACAUGUUCAUUUAUAUUGAGUUCCCUUGUGCUGCAGAAGCCUAAGGAUCUGGCAUUGUCACUGUAGCAGCUGGGGUCACUGCUGUGGCACGGGUUUGAUUCCAGGCCAGAGAACUUCUACAUGCUGCAGGGGCAGCCAAAAACAAACAAACAAACAAACAAACAAACAACAAGAUAACUUCCCUAAGACCACAAAAAGAGUGGGGCUUCACACAAAGUGACCUAAGAACAGCCAUAACCUGGACAAAGUGUCACCUAGUAAUGCAACCUGGCUUUUUUCCGAUAUCACACUAUAAAAAGGGGUUUGGAACAACAUAGAUGGGUUUCAAAAGUUACCAUACUUUUCUCAAUUCUUUGGCAUCAAGAUAAAAGACAUUCAUCCUAUACAGAGGCUGUAUGUGUGAAUAAAUCCAACACAGCCUGAAAAACUCACAGUUCUUUUUCCACCUGCCAAGCUCUCACAAGCCCCAUAAAGAAGAAAGCCUACGCUCAGCUUACCUGGAGGGGAAGAAGUCAGGGAUGAGUUUGCAGAGGUCUUCCAAAUUGCCUUCUUCCCCUCUGCACCCAGAAGGACCCUAAAAGAGCCCCCCAAAGGGGCUGGAGCUGAAGACCUUCUAGAUAACAUCAUGGAUAAUUAAUUAUUCAUGGAUGGUGAGAUUCUUAGUAGCUUCAUUAUGAAUUAGGACCCAUAUUAGGCAUUUCUGAUUUUCCUUCCACCUACAUACAGACUAAGUAAGUAGAGGGCUAUUGAUUUGAUCGGAAGAAAACACUGGAAAAUAAGUCUGAGUAUCAAGGCAUUAAGUGCUCCUGUGAGGAGAAAAAUAUAUUAAAUGUCAGGAAGUGCAACAGAAAUAAAAACACAGAUAGAAAAUGGAACGGAUUCAUGUCAUGUGCCCCCAAGAAUUUAGAAAUUUGGCUGCACCUCUAGAUUUCUGCUCCACUGCUUCUGGCUGAGUACAGAAGCAUGCCAACCAGCCGUGACUCGGUAAGUCCUGAGAAUCUUCCUUUGAAGAUUUUCAAAUUGUAUUUAAUACAAAGCGUGUCUCAAAAAAGACUCAGUAAUCAUUGAUCAAUAAAAUAUAUUCCCUUCCAUGGAAUGCCUUUUUAUAGCUCCACUCUGAAAAGCACUGGAGACCUGCCACCCCCUUGGGGAUCAAAGACAGACUAAUAUUAGUCAGGCCCACAGAGCACAAAGGAAAAUGUCUCUGAUAACUUUGUGCUUUAUGUACAGCCAGAAGUGGAUCAUUCUGGAAAAAAUGAGUUCAUUUACUCUGUAAUUCAGAAGAAAGAGGGUCUUCCCUUUCUCAGAAUUUUCCUGAUCCCAAAUUAUUUAUUUAUUUAUUUAUUUUUGCUUUUUAAGGCAUCGCCCACGGCAUAUGCAAGUCCCCAGGGUAGGGGUCAAAUCAGAGCUACAGCUGCCAGCCUACACCACAGCCACAGCAAUGCUGGAUCGGAGCCACAUCUUCGACCUACACCACAGCUCAUAGCAACACUGGAUCCUCGACCCACUGAACAAGGCCAGGGAUCAAACCCGCAUCCUCAUGGAUACUAGCGGGAUUCGUUUCCACUGAGCCACGAUGGGAACUCCCCGAUCCCUUAUUAAAGUCAAUUGGAAAGUAUCCCAAGUAAGAGUGAAAGACUGACUAGCUCUUAGAUUUAAUGUAGGUACUGAAUUCACAAAAACUUGAGACAAAGACACAGAGAAGGAUCCAUGAGUUUGGCACAGCAACUUGAGAUGAUGUUUGCUGGAUAGAAACCUGUCUUCAUAGGAAAUACACCUUAGCUAGGCUCUACCCAAGAAUUAGGAAACUUUAGAAUCUGUGCCAAUGAAACGAAGCUGACUGAACAAUGUGGAAAGUUUCUACUUCACUGCAUGUACCUAUUUUCCCCUUCAUCCCUCCUUUUGCCAUCUUUUUCCUGCCCCAUUUUUUCUCUCCUUUUCUCCUUCUCCCCCUAAGCCAGCUUUUACUUGUGGUAAUGAGCCACAGCCUCUGCUUAAUUUCACUGAAUUCUCCAUCCAACGUUAAUCUAGGCAAAGAGGGUACUCCCCUCUGCCCUUUGCAAAAUCAGCUGGCAUAGAAAGAGCUAGUGACUUUGUAAUCCCAAGCUAAACUCAAGUAGCACCAAGUUUUCACAGGUCGACAGAUCUCUGCACACAACCCAAGGCAUCAGUAAGGUCUGCUUUCUCCGGUCAAGGGUGUUCUUUUUCAUCGCGACUGCUUUAAUAAGCAGAAUUCAUAAAAGGACGGCCAUCCUUGGCUACCGAUGUCUUUCUUUUUUGUUUCCUCCCGGGCAGUAAGACUGUUUCACGGAACAUGGAGAAAUCUCCCUCCAAUCCAUAGAGGGAAAAAUGUGAUACUCUUGUGAUAGGCAGUUUUUUCAUGAAACACUGAAAUUCCAUUUCCCUGCGUUAUAAUUUUUAGGUCAUUACAUACUAAGCAAAGUUAGAAUAUUCCAUUUAAAUGUAAAAUGAUCUUCUCCCAGGAUUGGCAGAGCAGCACUGCCAUAAACAAACCAUUUGAGCAAGUUAGAAAUUUAGUCUCUAAUAAAAAUAGGUAUGGGAGGGUUUAUAAUAGUCUGCAAGGCAAUAAGCAGAUCUUAAUCUACUACCCAGCCAUCUCCUGAUAAAUGAAGCUAUGUGUCGAGGGACCAUAAGACCCAAAUCAACUGUCAGUGAGAUUUAUGACAUGAACUUCUCAAAGGAAGGAUAUCCCAGUACAUUGCCUCAUUCCAUUGACUAAGCAGUCAGAGCCCCCACGUCUGCAGGAAACCAAAGGGACCUUUUCCAUGGUACCAUCUGCAACCUCGGCAGGUCAGCUGAUGAGAAGUUAUCUAAAAAUGUGCAAAUAAAUAUGACCCACAGCAGAGGACAUCCAGAACUUUAUAGAAAAUAGAAGAGAUUGGAGUUCCCAUCAUGGCUCAGUGGUUAGGGAACCCGACUGGCAUCCAUGAGGAUGUGGGUUCAAUCCCUGGCCUCACUCAGUGGAUUAAGAAUCCGGCAUUGCCGUGAGCUGUGGUGUAAGUCACAGGCAUGGCUCAGAUCCUGAACUGCCGUGGCUGUGGUGUAGGCCAGCAGCUGAAGGUCUGAUUCAACCCCUCGCCUAGGAAUCUCCAUAUGCCGCAGGUUUGCCCCGCCCCCCCAAAAAGACAAAAAGACCAAAAAAAUAGAAGAGAGUCAAUCCAGGCCUCUCAAUACUCUAGGUUUGUGGAGCAAUUAGAGGACCAGGAAGGCUGGCAACCAAGAGAUUCUAUGUAGAGCAAGUUAAUUCUGCCUCUGCUUUCCUUGCUGAUACCACUUUAGGCUCAGGAGCCAGGAGGUCCUCGAUGCUGACUGUUUCCACUUAUGGGCAAAUCAGAUCACUUUUAUAAAUCCUUUUUGAAUGAUGGCGUAGAUGUUAAGUUAAAUAAAAGAGUGUGAUACAGCAAAAACUGAACUUCUUAAAUAUGGCAGGACCCUACCCAAGUACAUCAGCAUCCCUGUACCCUGAGCAUCCCACCAAGAAGCUGGGGGCCAAAGAAUCUAGGCAGAAAUACACUGCAUCUGUACCAGCUCCCAAUAACCAUCCCAUUUUCCCUAGGUUUAUGUAUCCUUAGCAUAAUACAGGAUCUUAACCUUAAUCUUAUAGUGAGUGAGAUUAUACAAAACUUCAGACACAACUUGGAAUAGAUGUACAAGGAGAUCCUGCUGAGUAGCAUUGAGAACUAUGUCUAGAUACUCAUAUUGCAACAGGACAAAGGGUGGGGGGAAAAUGUAUACAUGUAAGGAUAACUUGAUCCCCUUGCUGUACAGUGGGGAAAAAAAACAAAUUCCACUGUAGAUAAAAUAGCAAUACAUAAAGAUGUGAUACACACACACACACACACACACACACACACACACACACAAAUGGAAUACUACUCUGCCAUAAAAAAGAAUGCAGUAAUGGCAUUUGCAGCAACAUAGAUGGACUUAGAGAUUAUCAUACUAAGUGACGUAAGUCAGAUAGAGAAAGACACAUAUCAUAUAGGAUAUCACUUAUGUGUGGAGUCUAAAAAAAAUGAUACAAAUGAACUUAGUUAGAAAACAGAUGCACAGACAUAGAAAACAAACUUACGGUUACCAAAGGGGAAGGGGGUGGGGGAGGGAUAAAUUAGGAGUUUGGGA